rnacentral:rRNA from 1 species
GACGAACGCUGGCGGCGUGCCUAAUACAUGCAAGUCGAACGCUUCUUUCCUCCCGAGUGCUUGCACUCAAUUGGAAAGAGGAGUGGCGGACGGGUGAGUAACACUUGGGUAACCUACCCAUCAGAGGGGGAUAACACUUGGAAACAGGUGCUAAUACCGCAUAACAGUUUAUGCCGCAUGGCAUAAGAGUGAAAGGCGCUUUCGGGUGUCGCUGAUGUAUGGACCCGCGGUGCAUUAGCUAGUUGGUGAGGUAACGGCUCACCAAGGCCACGAUGCAUAGCCGACCUGAGAGGGUGAUCGGCCACACUGGGACUGAGACACGGCCCAGACUCCUACGGGAGGCAGCAGUAGGGAAUCUUCGGCAAUGGACGAAAGUCUGACCGAGCAACGCCGCGUGAGUGAAGAAGGUUUUCGGAUCGUAAAACUCUGUUGUUAGAGAAGAACAAGGACGUUAGUAACUGAACGUCCCCUGACGGUAUCUAACCAGAAAGCCACGGCUAACUACGUG